GUCCUGCCAGUAGCAUAUGCUUGUCUCAAAGAUUAAGCCAUGCAUGUCUAAGUACAAGCCGCUUGACGGCGAAACCGCGAAUGGCUCAAUAAAUCAGUUAUGGUUCCUUAGAUCCACCCAUCCUACUUGGAUAACUGUGGUAAUUCUAGAGCUAAUACAUGCACUCAAGUCCUGACUCGCGGCAACGCAAGAAAGGAUGCUUUUAUUAGAUCAAAACCAGUCGGGCUGGGGGCAACUCUGGCCCGUACCGUUUGGUGACUCUGGAUAACUUCCCGCUGAUCGCACGGUCUCGCACCGGCGACGCGUCUUUCAAAUGUCUGCCUUAUCAACUGUCGAUGGUAGGUUACGCGCCUACCAUGGUUGCAACGGGUAACGGGGAAUCGGGGUUCGAUUCCGGAGAGGGAGCCUGAGAAACGGCUACCACAUCCAAGGAAGGCAGCAGGCGCGCAAAUUACCCACUCCCGGCACGGGGAGGUAGUGACGAAAAAUAACGAUACGGGACUCUUCCGAGGCCCCGUGAUUGGAAUGAGUACACUUUAAAUCCUUUAACGAGGACCCAUUGGAGGGCAAGUCUG
rnacentral:rRNA from 1 species